rnacentral:rRNA from 1 species
UGGGGAAUAUUGGUCAAUGGGCGGAAGCCUGAUCCAGCCAUGCCGCGUGUGUGAAUAAGGCCUUUUGGUUGUAAAGCACUUUAAGCGAGGAGGAGGCUACUUGGAUUAAUACUCUAGGGUAGUGGACGUUACUCGCAGAAUAAGCACCGGCUAACUCUGUGCCAGCAGCCGCGGUAAUACAGAGGGUGCGAGCGUUAAUCGGAUUUACUGGGCGUAACGCGUGCGUAGGCGGCUUCUUAAGUCGGAUGUGAAAUCCCUGAGCUUAACUUAGGAAUUGCAUUUGAUACUGGGAAGCUAGAGUAUGGGAGAGGAUGGUGGAAUUCCAGGUGUAGCGGUGAAAUGCUUAGAGAUCUCAAGGAAUACCGAUGGCGAAGGCAGCCAUCUGGCCUAAUACUGACGCUGAGGUACGAAAGCAUGGGGAGCAAACAGG